UACGUAGGGGCAAGCGUUGUCCGGAUUUACUGGGCGUAAAGAGCGCGCAGGCGGUCGUUCAAGUCGCGUGUGAAAGCCCCCGGCUCAACUGGGGAGGGUCACGCGAUACUGAUCGACUCGAAGGCAGGAGAGGGAAGUGGAAUUCCCGGUGUAGUGGUGAAAUGCGUAGAUAUCGUCUGGAACGCCAAAGGUGAAACAGGUCGACUGGGGCUGAGCUGACGCUGAGACACGAAAGCCAGGGGAGCGAACGGG
rnacentral:rRNA from 1 species